AUACGUAGGGGGCGAGCGUUGUCCGGAAUUACUGGGCGUAAAGCGCGCGCAGGCGGCUUGUUAAGUCAGGUGUCAAAAUGCGGGGCUCAACCCCGUAUCGCACUUGAAACUGGCAGGCUUGAGUGCAGGAGAGGGAAGUGGAAUUCCUAGUGUAGCGGUGAAAUGCGUAGAUAUUAGGAGGAACACCAGUGGCGAAGGCGACUUCCUGGACUGUAACUGACGCUCAGGCGCGAAAGCUAGGGGAGCAAACAGGAUUAGAUACCCUGGUAGUCCUAGCCGUAAACGAUGGGUACUAGGUGUUGGGGGUGACAAUCCCCCAGUGCCGCAGUUAACGCAUUAAGUACCCCGCCUGGGGACUACGGCCGCAAGGCUGAA
rnacentral:rRNA from 1 species